rnacentral:rRNA from 1 species
AUUGAACGCUGGCGGCAGGCCUAACACAUGCAAGUCGAACGAGUGGCGGACGGGUGAGUAAUGUCUGGGAAACUGCCAGAUGGAGGGGGAUAACUACUGGAAACGGUAGCUAAUACCGCAUACCAUUCGAGGUGCCCAGAUGGGAUUAGCUAGUUGGUGGGGUAACGGCUCACCAAGGCGACGAUCCCUAGCUGGGCUGAGAGGAUGACCAGCCCCACUGGAACUGAGACACGGACCAGACUCUUACGGGAGGCAGCAGUGGGGAAUAGUGCACAAUGGGCGCAAUCCUGAUGCAGCCAUGCCGCGUGUAUGAAGAAGGCCUGCGGGUUGUAAAGUUCUUUCAUCGGGGAGGCGUUACCCGCAGAAGAAGCACCGGCUAACUCCGUGCCAGCAGCCGCGGUAAUAC